UUACAGUUUGAAAUUUAUGUUAUGGCUGCACUACAGCUUAAGUCGACAUAAAUUAUGUCAUUCAGGAGUGUGAAUUAGCCACUUCCCUGAGCAACAUAAUUUAUGCCGAUUUAAGUGCCAGUGUGGACAGUGCUAUGUCAGUGGAGGAGCGUCUCCCAGCAACAUUGCUACCA